GAUUGCCACAUCUGCUCACAACUCGAGGUAUAUAAGAUGCAGGGCGUGUUGUCUCGACAUACUACCCUACCAACAUUCCCCGAGCACCGAACUCCACUACAAACCACCAAAAUGAAAGCCUUCAUCGUAGUGUGUGCUCUCGUGGCGUGUGCCCUCGCUGAAGAAGAAGUGCGUGAGAAGCGCGGCUUGCUGCACGGCGGCUACUCCGGUUACUCGGGAUACAGCGGCCUAGGAGGCUAUUCGGGCCAUAGCGGUUUGGGAGGCUAUUCGGGCUACAGUGGCCUGGGUGGCUACUCCGGCUACAGAAGUUUGGGAGGCUACUCUAGCUACGGCGGUCUUAGAGGCUAUGGCUCCGGAUAUGGCUCCGGCUAUGGGUCCGGCUAUGGGUCUGGCUAUGGGUCCGGCUAUGGCUCAGGCUAUGGCUCCGGCUAUUCCAGCUAUGGCUCAGGCUAUGGGUCAGGCUAUGGCUCAAGCUAUGGCUCAGGCUAUGGGUUAGGCUAUGGCUCAGGCUAUGGCUCUGGAUAUAGCUCCAGAUAUUACGGCGGCUGGUGAUUUCUAGUCUUGUGUUUAGAAAGCUCAUUAUGACCUUAAUGUAUUUCAUCGAAUUAUCAUCUGUAUAUAAGUGACUUAUUUAUAAUAAAUACCUAUUUAAGUAUA